ensembl:lncRNA
UUUAUAGAGUCAAACAAUUUUAUUCUGCCUUUAGUCCAACGUGUGGACCAUAAAGUGCUCACAGUGCAACAGAAGAACGCGUGAAAUUUAAUAGAGCCUUUACUCUGCGCGACUUUAGUAUGUUAUUUGAAUGAUCUGGUCAGGAAUCUUCCCGUCCUUCUGAAUCACAUGUAAUUUCCAACAACUCCGGUAGAAGGCGCAAAUGAUUAAGCAUUAAUGUGUGUGAGAGGCGAGAGCAGCUCAGAUUAACAUUUGGGCCAAAGCGCAGGAUCCAGCAGGAGUGAAUACUCCCUGAGCUGAUUUCAUGGUUUGAAAUUAAUAUUGCGAAUCGUUUAAAUACUGUGAUUAUACCAAAGUCAAGCUUAUAUCAUUACCUAAGCCAAAGUAUUUACCAAGAUGUUUGGGCACCUUAAUUAUACUGCAAACAUAUUAGUGUCACUCUAGAAAGAAAAGCACCAAGCUUUCACAUAAAUCACAGCCCAAACACGCUUACAAUGAUUAAAACGAACUGUAGACCAUAUAAAAACAAAUGCUGCACUUUCAUAUAUGAUCAGUAUUUUUAUAAACGAUGUUGGAUAAUGUGUGUAUAAUAAAUGUGCCUUUUUAUAAUGAGUCAUACGUGCAUGUUACAUCAUAUUAUUUCUUGUUGCACUAACGUUUUAAUCAGAUAUAAGCAAAAUAAAUGAUUUACUUGUUUAAAAAAAUGAGUGCCUUUUUCUGACUGAAUAGUUUCUAACUGGAGCUCACAGAACCUAAAUGCGCCAUAAGUAAUCCUGUUGGGUUUUCUGACAGACGAUAAUAAACUAGUAGUUUCAUAAAAUUAGAUAAACUGUGAAAACUUUGCAGCAGGUCUGUCUGUGUUCUGAAGCAGUGACACAAAGCAGAGAGGCUCAAUGGCCUUUUUGCAGAUCCCAACAUGUUUAGGCGCAAAGCUGCCAGUUGCUCCUUGUUUUUUCAAACAGCUACAGACAAGCAGUGAUACAAGGGAUCACCAAGAGCCGAGCGAUGAUUCAUCUCUCUGACCUGGAGGGGUUUAG